GUUAUGUUGGUAGACAGUGAAGUUUCUAUUAAUCAUAAAGCAAAAAUAAUAAGAAUAACAACAAUGUAUGCAUGAAUAACAAAAUGCUUACAUAUUAUUUCAAGGCAAUCAUAGAAUAGAGAGAGAGAGAGAGAUGUGUUGGCCUGUACGUGGGUGUAAGACUUUAAACAUUAUGGUUAGAAGAAAGAUCUGGUUCAUUAUAUGAUAUACAUUAUUAUGCAUUAAAAACAAGAGAAUACGGUCAGAAUACCAAUCAUACUUAUGACAUUAGUUGUGACAUAAAAAGUGUAAUUUCAAAUAGCCAUACAUUUCAACUUAUCCAUCAUUCAGAAUUAAACAUUGAAGUGGAUAUUACUGUCUAGUUCAUUGAAUCUUAUAAUUUAACCAGAAACAAAAAAGAUCACAAAUAGGUCACCAACAUGAUUGAUUUGUUUCUUGGCUUUUUACGUUGAGUCUUUAUCAUAAAACGAAACAAUUGUCAAGUGUACACAUCUACCAUUACGAUUCUAUAUGUUAAGGGUUUGAUUAUCAAAGUCAGUGGAUGUCUUGAUUGUUUAAAAUCUUUGCGUUAGUUAAAAAAAUCUACUUUUAUCAACUCACUCUGCCUGUAUCUUGUACAAGGUUAGCUGUUCCACUUCCUGGUAUCAAAUCACAUAUUUUAAUAUUUUGCUUAUUAGUGAUGGCUGUACUUUUAAUUAACUACUGAUAUGCUCAGCAGACUCAUGUUACAGUUGUUUUCAUUAAGAACCAAAUAUAAUACAUACAUGAGGUCUCUUUGUUAGGCAUAAAAUAUAUAUAUUUAUAUCUCCAUAUAUAUAUAUCUAUAUUUGUCCGCAUGUUCUAUACCGGAAUAGGUCUACAAGUAUAUGUUAGACAUAACCCAUAUGUUUUUUCACAAUUUAUUAAAAAGUCUAAAAAUAUUACAUUUCAAUACUGAAUAACAUAUAUUAAGCAACAUAAACAUACAUAGCACAUUUUCAAAUAUUUAAUUAAAAAAAAAAAAAAAAAACC